GCUCCCUUUACUGAUAACUUCUUCUAAAUUGGUGAUAACAAAGCUAAACUUCCGGUAUAUCUCUGCUGUACAAUCACCAGAACAAAAAAAUUUAGCAACAAAUACAAUUAUGGAUAGGGAAAAUUAGAAGAUGAUCCAAACUAGGGUCUCCUGAAUCUUCAGUAGGAGAUAGAAAGCUGUACAAAUUUAUGCAACACAAAUAUACAGUAGGUCUUAACAAAUGAUCACCUAGGGAGUGCUAAUCAAUUAAUAGCUUUUGUAUACAGAUUCAAAGGGGUAAUGCUUAUGCUAUUUUUAAUUCUCUAUGUUUUGUGAACGUGUUUGAGAGAAGAAAACCAGAAAUAGGAAAAACAUGCUUCUAUUUUGAGUUGGUAAUUAAGAAAUUGGUAGUUAGUUAAAUUAAUAACCAGGAACUGCUCUUCCCUUGGAAUGUUCAGAUAAAACCAGUACUUAUGGUGGUGCAGAUCUUCUUCAAAUAUUCGCUCUUAUGGAGCAAGGUAAGUGUGUUGGAUGGUUCAUCUUUGUCUAGAUUAGGCACCUUAAUUACAUAGCCGAUUAAGACUAACCAAUAUUCUUUUUUGAUGUGGCUGGUUCAUGUCCUUGAUUGCAUAGAAUAUCUAACAUUUCUUCCGUUCCAGAUUUUCUAAUGGGCUCCUUCUGGCUGUAGCUCAGGAAUUAAAUAUUUUAGGUUGUAUGUUUUACCUCAGGAAUUGAAUAUUUUGGAGCUCGAGAGAUCAACAAGAAGUUCAGAGGUAUCAUAGAAAAGUGAGUCUCCAAUAUUCAUUUCUCAAGUACUGGUGCUGGCAAUUUAAGUUCCUGUUCUCAGUCUCCUUGCCGCGGGGGUACAAAACUCAGUGUGUCGCCCCACAGCGAGGCUAAGUCAAGAUUCUUGAUAACAACAUGCCUGAAAAUUCUACCUCAACAAAUAGGUGUAGCAGUGCACUUAUCUCUUCCUGUGCCCAACAACGACAAAGAAGCUGUCCAAGGUCUUGCCCUCCCUGUCUCAAAGGAAGAGCUGAUACCGAGCGAGGACAACAAUGCCGGCUGCUGAUACCUCAAAGACAGAAGAACACCCGCAGCACCUAUCUUACCAUGCUAUCCACUAAUUAAUUAACAAUGUAUAUUAGUACCACUAGCUAAUCGACAAACUAUGUACUGGAGUACUAUGUAUUAAGCAACAAUGCAAGAUAUUACCAGUAACUAAUCUUCCUGUUAUGUGAUGUAAUCCUAUCAACUAUGCAAUCCUGUAGGAAGAUGUAUCAGUAUAAGUGACUAUAGUUAAGUAACAAUGUAUAUUAGUACCACUAGCUAAUUGACAAGCUCUAUGUACUGGAGUACUAUGUAUUAAGCAACAAUGUAAGUUGGUACCAGUAACUAAUCUUCCGGUUAGUUGAUGUAAUUCUGGAGGAAGAUAUAUCAGUACAAGUGACUAA